rnacentral:rRNA from 1 species
UACGGAGGGUGCAAGCGUUAUCCGGAUUCACUGGGUUUAAAGGGUGCGUAGGUGGGCAGGUAAGUCAGAGGUGAAAUCUCCGGGCUUAACCCGGAAACUGCCAUUGAUACUAUCUGUCUUGAAUACCGUGGAGGUGAGCGGAAUAUGUCAUGUAGCGGUGAAAUGCUUAGAUAUGACAUAGAACACCAAUUGCGAAGGCAGCUCACUACGCGAAUAUUGACACUGAGGCACGAAAGCGUGGGGAUCAAACAGG